CAUCGAUUGUCUUCAGUCUGUAGAAUUUCUCUGUGUUCAACCCUCUUCUCUUGCACAUGGAGUCCUCAAACAGAGGUCAUGUGUGUCACAAAUGACACCAUAUUACCCUACAUAGUUCACUACAUUUGAAUAGAGCCCCAUAGGCCUCUGGUGAAAUGUAGCGUGCUAGGGUAUGCGUGCUAGGGUGUUAUUUGGUACGGAAGCCCGGGCUAAUCAGCCACCCGCCAGGACCUGCCUCCUGAGACUUAGAGGAGAGAAACAAAACGCAGGUAAACCGUCAGGAGUGUGGCUUCUUCCCUCUCAGAAAACAUCAAUAACAACCCCUCCUAGUCAAUACACAGAAACGGGAAGUGGGCCUUGUUUGAAUGUGGAUUAAAUUCAACAAGAGCUCAACACUCUUUCGUUUGCCACAGAGAGCGAGAGAGAGAGCGAGAGAGAGACAUAGAGAGAAAGAUGUCUUUCAGGAUGAAUAUUGUGUAUUCCACUGGCCAGAAGUUACCAGGAACAACUAGAUGAAGCUGCCACCUGAGCCUACGUAUGUGGAGAGGCAAUGUGUAGAGGGGUUUCACCUAAAGCAUCAGUGAAGCUGCAUCAGCAUAUGUGAAGAAAGGUCCAGUUUUAACAGGGCAGAUGUCAACACACAUCUGCUGACAGGGAGAAAACUGCCUCUCCCGGCGAAAGGUUGGAGGUGAAGAGCGAAGCUGCAAGGACUGCCCGCUGUGGUGGACACCCCCGGCUGGGAGGUGCGCGUGUGGAUUGCGGGGACCCUCUCUGACACCCACUGUCGCCACGGCCUUGGCUGCCCGUCUCGGAAGGUGCCAGUGGCAGCCAAGCUGUGCCUUAAAGUGUUAUGACAUUAACGCUGCAGCGCCAAGCUGUCCACCAGGCUAUCAAACAUUCAACUCCAGAUGAGAUGUACAGUAAUUGUAUCGUUGACUUUGUUGGAUUUAAUUAUUUGUCACCCAUUGACUUGAUGUCCAGGUUUAGUGUUGGAAUGUGGGACUGUUACGUGGGAUAAAUCUGUUAAAGUCUCUGUUGUGUUAUGUCUCACUUUUGUUAUUCAGAUGUGGCUGUUCUAGAUUGUGUGUUUACUAUAAUAAGAGAUGGCAAGACUGGUUAGGGAUUUCAUAACGUGCUUUGCCAUCUUCAGUGCUAUUGAUAGAAUAGAGCGAAUAUAAUAUAUUUCAAUUUUUCGGGAGAUAAAUAUUUACAGAUAAAGCAAACCCAGUACAAAUUAAAGUGUGUAGUCGGUCUUGCUGUGACUCAAAUGAAGUGUUUCCCCCCUCGAGUGGGUUUUUUGUGUUAACUGAUUAUGCUCAGUGACGAGAUAAGACAACUUCUAUCAUAGUCCUGUAUACAAAGAGAGAGAGGGAGACUGAGGGUAGAGAGGGAGUCGGAGGAGAGAGAGGGAGACUGAGGGGAGAGAGGGAGACGGAGGAGAGUGAGGGAGUCGGGAGGAGAGAGGGGGAGAAGGAUGGGAGAGGGAGAAGGGACAGGGACACAGAAAGAGAGACAGGAGAGGGAGACGGGGGGGGUGUAGAGAGGUGGGUGAGGGAGAUACACAGAAGAUAAGCGAGACAGAGGAGAGGAGAGAGACAGAAUAGAGAGAGAG
ensembl:lncRNA